rnacentral:rRNA from 1 species
ACAGGGUGACAGGUGGUGCAUGGUUGUCGUCAGCUCGUGUCGUGAGAUGUUGGGUUAAGUCCCGCAACGAGCGCAACCCUCGCCUCUAGUUUGCCAGCAUUCGGUUGGGCACUCUAGAGGGGACUGCCGGCGACAAGUCGGAGAAGUGGGGAUGACGUCAAAUCAUCAUGCCCCUUAUGACCUGGGCUACACACGUGCUACAAUGGGCGGUACAAAGGGCUGCGAACCCGCGAGGGGGAGCGAAUCCCAAAAAGCCGCUCUCAGUUCGGAUUGCAGGCUGCAACUCGCCUGCAUGAAGCCGGAAUCGCUAGUAAUCGCGGAUCAGCAUGCCGCGGUGAAUACGUUCCCGGGCCUU